AGUGAACGCUGGCGGUAGGCCUAACACAUGCAAGUCGAACGGCAGCACAGUAAUAGCUUGCUCUUACGGGUGGCGAGUGGCGGACGGGUGAGGAAUACAUCGGAAUCUACUUUUUCGUGGGGGAUAACGUAGGGAAACUUACGCUAAUACCGCAUACGACCUACGGGUGAAAGCAGGGGAACUUCUGACCUUGCGCGAUUGAAUGAGCCGCUGUCGGAUUAGCUAGUUGGCGGGGUAAAGGCCCACCAAGGCGACGAUCCGUAGCUGGUCUGAGAGGAUGAUCGGCCGCACUGGAACUGGGACACGGUCCAGACUCCUACGGGAGGCAGCAGUGGGGUAUAUUGGACAAAGGGCGCAAGCCUGAUCCAGCCAUACCGCGUGGGUGAAGAAGGCCUUCGGGUUGCAAAGCCCUUUUGUUGGGAAAGAAAAGCAGCAGGUUAAUACCCCGCUGUUCUGACGGUACCCAAUGAAUAAGCACCGGCUAACUUCGUG
rnacentral:rRNA from 1 species